GAAGUGAAAAAAGCUGAUAUUAAAAAGUCAAAUCCUCUACACAGCUAGACACCAUGCCACAGCAUCAUUUCCCUUUAAUGUACUUCCGGCGUGCUGUGUCUUCAUGGCAUAUCAUCUGUAAAGGUGAACACAAAG
rnacentral:snoRNA from 1 species